UGGGGAAUUUUGGACAAUGGGCGAAAGCCUGAUCCAGCAAUGCCGCGUGUGUGAAGAAGGCCUUCGGGUUGUAAAGCACUUUUGUCCGGAAAGAAAUCCUUGGCUCUAAUACAGUCGGGGGAUGACGGUACCGGAAGAAUAAGCACCGGCUAACUACGUGCCAGCAGCCGCGGUAAUACGUAGGGUGCAAGCGUUAAUCGGAAUUACUGGGCGUAAAGCGUGCGCAGGCGGUUUGCUAAGACCGAUGUGAAAUCCCCGGGCUCAACCUGGGAACUGCAUUGGUGACUGGCAGGCUAGAGUAUGGCAGAGGGGGGUAGAAUUCCACGUGUAGCAGUGAAAUGCGUAGAGAUGUGGAGGAAUACCGAUGGCGAAGGCAGCCCCCUGGGCCAAAUACUGACGCUCAUGCACGAAAGCGUGGGGGAGCAAACAGGAUUAGAUACCCUGGUAGUCCACGCCCUAAACGAUGUCAACUAGUUGUUGGGGAUUCAUUUCCUUAGUAACGUAGCUAACGCGUGAAGUUGACCGCCUGGGGGAGUACGGCCGCAAGAUUAAAACUCAAAUGAAUUGACGGGGUCAUAGCUGUUUCCU
rnacentral:rRNA from 1 species